AUACAAAUCACCUGGGAUCUUGUUAAAAGGUAGAUUCUGAUUCAUUUGGUCUGGAGUGGGGCCUGAGAUUCUGCAUUUCUAAUAAGCUCCCAGGUGAAGCAGUU
rnacentral:pre_miRNA from 1 species